rnacentral:lncRNA from 1 species
AAGAAGUCUAAAUGGGGGAGGGAAAGCCUCUUAUGAAGUGAAUUAACUUGAAUCACAAGGCAAUGACGUGGUUGGUGAUUCAUUAUGAUCAAGAAUGUUGCCAAAACAACUCUGUAGUUGUCCUGUGUCAUGGUGAAGAAAGAUGGCUUUUGGCUAGAACCUUCAUUCUGAGGGUAGCAAAGGACAUCAAAUCCCAUUGAUGAGAAAGAUGGAAAAUGCAUCCGGUUUCCUCAGAAAUUCUGAACUCUUGAGUACAAUAAAAUGAUGUCUUUAUUUUUCUGAUACUUCGCUGCUGUGAUACUAUGCAGACAAGUGUCUUCUCCAUGCGCCAUUUUCAAAGAAAAGUCAUUUGCCAAAUAAUUCUGGUACAAUUCUGCUAAUGUGCUUUUGGAUCUUAGAAACCAACUUUCUAAUGGUAACAUAAAUAUUCCAUGUAACAAACUGAUUCUGUGGUCAAAUGGUUCAUCUCUAUCUCUUUUUGUACAUCAGAAAAUUCAAAUGGGAUUUUUUUUUUCUAACUUGAAAAGAAAAACCUUACCAUUAAACUCUUUAACUAUUUAAGGGAAAUGGCUUUAAGGAGUUCUAAUGAAAAAAAACCACCACCUUUUUUUGUAAAUAUAAAUGUCAAUAAAGAUGCUUUUUAAUAAUACCAUUACACUGUAGAGAAGGUAGCAGAUGGAGCGUAAGGUGCAAUGGGCAUGAUGGACCGGGCUCACUUGCCAGGUGUGUUUCUGGGAAGACUGGUAGGAAGCUAGAGUUCAGAGACAGGCAGGAGUCGUGGGCCAAUAGCAGCUAGUGAACAGGAGGAGGUGGGGCUGCACCGCCAGCUGUUCUGGAGCGUCUUCCCCCUCUACCCAGUGAAAGAGAAAGGAGGCUCACUCAUGAAAGAUUUGACCUUCGGAUUUGGAAAGUCACUCACCUCCCCGCUCCCACAUACUCGUCCAUAAAUCAUGGGACUGGUCGUACGUGAACCAGAAGGAUUAUACAUCCUGUUUUUACACACAUGGGACAAAGUUCUAGUGUUCAUUCCUAUGUUUAGCACACAGCUUUCAUAAAGAAUCUCUAUAUUUUUACCCUAUAGAGAACUGUUAUACAGGUCAGAUGUGUUUUCCUGGUGCUCCUAUGCAGUUACAUGUUAGAUGUAGUGGUUUAAGAAGGAAACCCACAAGAAUCAUGUGAUUGGAUCUGGGAGUAUUGAAAAGUCAAACUAACCUUGAGAUGACUGAUUGAAAUUGGCCGGUAUGCUUUGACUUCUUCCUAUCUAUAGGAACUAAAAUGAUUUUGAAGAUGAAGUGGCUCUUCACACAAAAAUCACAAUAUAACGUCAAAAUGAUUGUCGUUAUUUAGAGUCCACGUUUUAUACUGGAAUAUUAUUUUCCCAAACAGAUAAAUGAACCAUAUGUCCAUUAGAAAUUACCACCCUACUAUGGAAAUGCUACCCUAUGGUGGAAGGUCCCAAGAACUAGACAGCAAGAAGGGUUGUCCACUGCCCUCUGAAGCUGCUACCUGUUUGUACAGGAUUCCUCCAGACCAUGUGUCUGUGCUAUGAUGAGGUGACCCUCUUGUGGAAAGCAGAAAUGGGAGGUAUAAUGGCCACAAAUUGCCCUGAAAGCAGUCCUGCUUCUCUGAAGUGUUAGCAAGAUAGGCAGUUGCCGUGGGAAUCAACUUCAGUGGCUAUGGGGUCAUGGUGCUGGGUCUGUAUGAAUGGUGCCAUCGUCUCCCUCAGUGUGGCUAUCUGAGUCUCUCCAUCAGUGUCAUACCCGUAUCCCCAUCCCUUGGGGUACCAUGAUGCGAAGUGAACUCUGAUGCUGUUUUCAGGUGUACCAACUGCAGUUAGCUUUAAAGUGGGUGGUGACAGCCCAGCCAAUUGCCAUAAUUCACUGAACAUGACAGUAACUGGAUCUGAACUUAAGGAAGAUGCCUAGAUGACACAUUAAAAUGAGGGCGAUCAAGUCAAGAUUUUAAACUGCCAUCUAUAUUUCCAUUGGCAGAAUACUGGUUUUGGUUUUGGUUUUGUUUUUAUUUUUGUUUUUGUUUUUUCCUUUCUAAGCACCAUUGGGUAAGUUCAGAACCACUGUCCCUCUAUCCCAGGAAUAUGGUGACCAAUACCAAAAGAGCAUGGGGAGUCUGCACAGUUCUGCUUAGAUAGGUAGGAAGAUUCUCAUGUGCAAUGCUUGCUUCCUCCUCCUCUUAGCACUAAAUUUGUCACUUUAAAUUUUGAAACCAGGGAAGUUCCACCUGUUAUUCUGUCCCCAUCCCCCAUGGCUCUUUGAUCUUUACAUACCACAAGACUUUUUUGAUAACUCGUAUCCAUCCCAGUGUCUACAGAAACCCCAUCAUGUAAUGUACCGGUCACCUUCUUUUAAGAAAAUGUUUACUCCGUGGGUUCGGUUCCUUUCAAUUUCUGCGUUCUGACACAUAUUUUUUUAAUAAAGAUGAGAAAGAG